rnacentral:tRNA from 1 species
UCCCUGCAGCUCAAAUGGUAAAGAACCUGCCUUUGAGGCAGGAGACCAGGGUUCAAUCCCUGGGUUGGGAA